AGCCUGGUGGCGGAUGGUUUGCACCCACAUCUAAUAGACAAAGGUUGAUAUAUGUAAGUGGGGGUUCCUCGUUCGAAUCGGGGUCAGGCUA